UUAAGUGACGAAGCGUAUACGGUGGAUGCCUUGGCAGUUAGAGGCGAUGAAGGACGUGUAAGUCUGCGAAAAGCUGUGGUGAGCCGACAAAAUGCAUUUGAGCCACAGAUGUCCGAAUGGGGAAACCCACCUAUUUAUAGGUAUCGUUAACUGAAUACAUAGGUUAACGAGGCAAACGAGGGGAACUGAAACAUCUAAGUACCCUUAGGAAAAGAAAUCAACCGAGAUUCCCCUAGUAGCGGCGAGCGAACGGGGAGCAGCCCUUAAGCUGUUUAGAAUUUAGUGGAAUCCUUUGGGAAGAGGAGCGAUACAAGGUGAUAGCCCUGUACACGACGGAUUCUUUACAGUGAAAUCGAGUAGGUCGGGACACGUGUUAUCUUGACUGAAUAUGGGGGGACCAUCCUCCAAGGCUAAAUACUCCUAACUGACCGAUAGUGAACCAGUACCGUGAGGGAAAGGCGAAAAGAACCCCUGUGAGGGGAGUGAAAUAGAACCUGAAACCGUAUACGUACAAGCAGUGGGAGCCCUUCGGGGUGACUGCGUACCUUUUGUAUAAUGGGUCAGCGACUUAUAUUUAGUAGCAAGGUUAAGUGAAUAACGGAGCCGUAGCGAAAGCGAGUGUUAACUGCGCGUUUAGUUGCUAGGUAUAGACCCGAAACCCGGUGAUCUAGCCAUGAGCAGGUUGAAGGUUGAGUAACAUCAACUGGAGGACCGAACCCACUAACGUUGAAAAGUUAGGGGAUGACUUGUGGCUGGGGGUGAAAGGCCAAUCAAACCGGGAGAUAGCUGGUUCUCCCCGAAAUCUAUUUAGGUAGAGCCUCGGACGAAUUCCAUUGGGGGUAGAGCACUGUUAAGGCUAGGGGGUCAUCCCGACUUACCAACCCUUUGCAAACUCCGAAUACCAAUGAGAACUAUCCGGGAGACACACGGCGGGUGCUAACGUCCGUCGUGGAGAGGGAAACAACCCAGACCGCCAGCUAAGGUCCCAAAAUAUUGCUAAGUGGGAAACGAUGUGGGAAGGCAUAGACAGCUAGGAGGUUGGCUUAGAAGCAGCCACCCUUUAAAGAAAGCGUAAUAGCUCACUAGUCGAGUCGGCCUGCGCGGAAGAUGUAACGGGGCUAAGCAAUAUACCGAAGCUGCGGCAGCAUGUUUACAUGCUGGGUAGGGGAGCGUUGUGUAAGUGGAUGAAGGUGAGUUGUAAAGCUUGCUGGACAUAUCACAAGUGCGAAUGCUGACAUGAGUAACGAUAAUGGGAGUGAAAAACUCCCACGCCGGAAGACCAAGGUUUCCUGUCCCAUGCUAAUCAGGGCAGGGUAAGUCGGCCCCUAAGGCGAGGCAGAAAUGCGUAGUCGAUGGGAAACGGGUUAAUAUUCCCGUACUUAUAUAAUCAGUGAUGGAGGGACGGAGAAGGCUAGGCAAGCUUGGCGUUGGUUGUCCAAGUGAAAGUGAGUAGGCUGAAGACUUAGGUAAAUCCGGGUUUUCAAGGCCGAGACACGAGACGAGCUCCCAAGGGAGUGAAGUUGUUGAUGCCCUGCUUCCAGGAAAAGCUUCUAAACUUAUGAUUAUAUGAACCGUACCCCAAACCGACACAGGUGGUCAGGUAGAGAAUACUAAGGCGCUUGAGAGAACUCGGGUGAAGGAACUCGGCAAAAUUGUACCGUAACUUCGGGAGAAGGUACGCCUCUGUUUGUGAACACUUCGCGUGGUAAGCAAAUGGAGGCCGCAGUGACCAGGUGGCUGGGACUGUUUAUUAAAAACACAGCACUCUGCAAACUCGUAAGAGGACGUAUAGGGUGUGACACCUGCCCGGUGCCGGAAGGUUAAUUGAUGGGGUUAGUUUUCGGACGAAGCUCUUGAUCGAAGCCCCGGUAAACGGCGGCCGUAACUAUAACGGUCCUAAGGUAGCGAAAUUCCUUGUCGGG
rnacentral:rRNA from 1 species